rnacentral:rRNA from 1 species
GAAUUCGCUAGUGAUUCAGGCCUAACACAUGCAAGUCGAACGGCAGCAUGGAGGAGCUUGCUCCUCUGAUGGCGAGUGGCGAACGGGUGAGUAAAGCAUCGGAACGUACCGUGUAGUGGGGGAUAACGUAGCGAAAGUUACGCUAAUACCGCAUACGCACUGAGGUGAAAGCAGGGGAUCGCAAGACCUUGCGCUAUACGAGCGGCCGAUGUCAGAUUAGCUAGUUGGUAGGGUAAAGGCCUACCAAGGCGACGAUCUGUAGCGGGUCUGAGAGGAUGAUCCGCCACACUGGGACUGAGACACGGCCCAGACUCCUACGGGAGGCAGCAGUGGGGAAUUUUGGACAAUGGGGGAAACCCUGAUCCAGCCAAGCCGCGUGAGUGAAGAAGGCCUUCGGGUGUAAAGCUCAAUGGGCUGGGAAGAGAUCGCACAGGCUAAUACUCUGUG